GACUGAACUGUCCUUUUUCGGUUAUCAUGGUACCGAUGCUGUGUAUCUGAAAGGUACAGUACUGUGAUAACUGAAGAAUGGUGGUGCCAUC
rnacentral:pre_miRNA from 1 species